GCAGCAGACUUGCCGGCGCAUCGGCUCGGCCGCGUCCUUUCCAUGUCCUCCGACCUGCUCGCCGGGAACAACAGGGCCGCGCCCGACGGUACACAUCAUUCGUAAUCCAUGGGGGACAAUGUGACGCCUCGUAGCACAUGUACUUCAAUCAGGAAUGUUGUUUGGUGCAUCGCGAGAGUACUGGUGUGGCGCCCCCCAAUCCCCAAUGCCUGGGUUUACUUCUGAUGUCGCACCGAUGUUGCUUCCAUCCUCCCUGCCACUGGCGUCAUGCUGCUCGGCCUCCGACAACAUUUAGUAGUUUGAUGUCUGCCCAAGGUGGAUGGUGGUACAGCCCAAGGCGUCGGUGGUUUCAGGGUCGACGAUGACUUGCUCUGCUCGGAUGGACAAUGCCAGGGGUCGAAAAGAUCGCCUAUGGCUGGUUACUAGGGAUAGAUCGUUCAUGAUCAUGCGGAAUGAUGUAACGCCUUGUAGCACCUCUACUUCAAGCAAGAAGGUUGUUUGCUGCAGCGCUAGAGUACUGGUGUGGUGCCUCAAAUGUCAGGUUCGACUGCUAAUGUCGCAUUGAGAGGAUGCUGCCAUCCUCCCCGCGGCUAGUGUCAUGUUGUUCAGCCGUGGACGACCUUUAGCAGGGAGAAAUCGGUCGUGAUCAUGGGGAAUGAUGUGACGCCUUGUAUCACCUCUACUUCGCAAGAAGGUUGUUUGCUGAAGCGCGAGAGUAGUGGUGUGGUGCCCCCAAUGCCAGGUUCUACUGCUAAUGUCGCAUUGAGAGGACGCUACCAACCUCCCCGCUGCUAGUGUCCUGCUGCUCAGCCCAGCCGUGGACGACCUUUACCAGAUAUUUUUCAAUGUUUACCGUGUUCAGCGAGGCAUGAAGUUUGAUCUCUGCCCAAUGUGGAUGGUGGUACAACCCAAGACGGCGGCGGGUUUAGGUUCGACGAUGACUUGCUCCGCUCUGAUGGACAAUGCUAGGGGAUGACCAGAAGGCUGGUUGCUAGGGUUCAUGGCUGUGUGUGGUGGUGGUACAGCCAGCCCAAGGCGGCGGUGGCAGUGGUGACAAGGAUGAGUCAGGAGGGUGCCCACUUGAAUGACUAGCUCCACCCAGAUACCGCCAGGGACGGAUGAGAAGGACAACGACCUUGUGGUGCCUCCCUGCUGCUGCCUCUCCUGAUAAGUUUUGUGCCUACCAUUGUUGUGCAGCUGUAUUUUUUUUAUCUUGUUUGUGUGUAGCUAAAAAGUUGAGUGUGUGCUCUCUGUGCCCUUAAGUUCAUCCAUCUCUUCUCUUUGGGUAAAUAAAAUAUUUGGGAGGACUGUUGUUGUGGUGUGUAUGCUUAAUGAACUAUACUAAUUUAUCUGUCUAUGUAGUAAAUGAGGAAUGCGGAUACUAGUUUUUAAAGAGUUUCUUGUUCUUGAUGACGAUAUUAUCAGCAGAGGCCCCAUUCCUCAAUCUAGGUUUGAUGUCCUCGUUAUGUGGAUAAAAUGUAGACUACAUGUUUCUUUGUUUGUUUAUUUAUUACUUGCAUAAACAAACAUUCCAUCAGUACUUUGGUGUUUAUAGGUUGAUCACAUGCUAUUUAAAUCUGUACCGAAUGGAGUUUUAUAGCUUUCAAUGGCUAGUUAUUUCUGAAAUUUGUUGCAGCAGGUUGCAUCCAUCUAAACCCGGCCAUGGCAUGAGAGUCAUUCUCUCUUUGAGUUAUUUAAGUUUCAAAGUAAUUCAUGUAAAGUAGUUCCUUGUUUUGCACAGUAGUAAAUCAUGAUUGAAGGAAGCAAUGGACAGGGAACAUGUGAAGCUCAUCUUGUGCUCGGAAAAUUGAAGCAGCACAGUUAGCACCAAACUGGAAGUUUCAGUCAAGCUAGGCAACAACCCCACAUAUGCUCGUUGGAUCCUGAAGUUGCGCAUUUAAGGGCAUCUCGUAGGCCUAUGGCACCGGCUUUAGCCCAAAGGGACGCUUCUUCCUUGAUUUUGAUCCUCGGGUUGGUGAUAGAGGGGCGAGUGCCCUCAAAUACAGUCAUUUCUGUGCUUCCAGAGCAUCCAGGGUAGCAGAAGUGCCAUCGACCCGAAACCCUUGCACAGUGUCUUGGGAAGUUGAUGAAGCUCGGUUUCCGAGCCGGUGGCAACGUCCGGGGCAAGGAGAUGGCUGACUGGAGGCAUGGAAGGAAAUCAAUCCAAAUUAGCCCAGUAUGGUGUCUGCACUAUCAUGAAUGAAGGUAUAUGUUCUCUAAUAACCCAGCUUCGACUAUCUCGGCGAGUUGACCACGCUGCAACCGUGACACUCGUAAUUGGCUACAACAUCUCCAGUGAGUUACCAUGUGGCUCCCAUGUCGUAUACGCCUUUGAUCAUGUGGCUCCCAUGUGGUAUGUGAUACCAUGGCUGUACUUAUGAUCUCGCCACCUAGUUUUAUAUUAUUAGAGGCCCUGCUGUAGUAUUUCUGGUAAUUGAAGUUUUCAUGUUAAUGGUAUGAUUUUGCUGUUAUUAUGCUGCCAAUGCCAAGUAUUGUGUUGGUAUUGGGUUGUAUUGAUCUUUGAUUAGAGAUCAUUCUAUGAUUGGACAUGCUUCGGCUUAUAAUUUUAGCCAGUGGGAUUGUUGAUCCUGCUAUUUUCUUCGAGUAGUCAAUCCUGCUAUAUUCUUCCAGUAGCUAAUCCUUCUCCCCUGUUUUUUGCAUUCUGCUUUGUAAGUAUCAGCUCAAGCCUCAAGCUUGAUUAGAGGAAGCACUAUGCACAGAUACAAAUGAUAUCUACAUGUACUGUAUGCCUUACUCUUUCUUGGUAGUUGCAGUAUUUAGUUCGUAUAGAAUCUUGAUUCUUUCAUAUUUAUUUCUGGAUUGAAAACUGUGAUGUUUACCACAUAUAUAGGUGAUAAACAUUUGAAGAAAACAAAGAUGCUAUGUAUCUAAUAGAACUGGUGGCGAGUGGCGACUAGUGUCAUUUUGUCUUGCUAGGUAUCUAAGAGAAUUGAAGUAUCUAGCUGAUUGAAAUUGUUUCAGUGUUGGUGCGGAAGUGAUGAUACUGACUAUGUUUAUUAGUGUCUAGUUUGGAAGUUGAGAACCUAUCCUGACUGAUGAGCAACGUCAGGUUGUGUUGAUGUUUAAUUGCAUCAGUCAGUCCAAUUUUUUCCUGAGGGUGUAUCGAGCGUCUGAAAUGGUGUAAGUUGCUGCCUUUGGGUGUGAGCAAGAGUCUGCACGGGGAAGCAACAUCUGUCAGUGGUGUGCAAGAAUAGUAUUUGCGGUCAUUCUAUGAGAAAUAUUGCACAAUGAAUACUAUUUUAGUAACUACUGUGCAUCUACCAGUUAUAUGUGUCUAGCCAUUUUUUUUCUAGCUCAUGGUACAAUCUGCCUGCAUAUUGUCAGUCCAAUUACUUUUACAUUCUUCUCUUUACCGGUGCUCAUGGAAUUUUUGGCUUGCAAACUAGAAUCUGAAGUAUAAUGAAAGCUGUGGGUGAAGUAAAGGAACAAAGGCUACUGCCAUUGUUACAAUCCAAAGCUUAAUCCUUUCUAAGGUUGAUCCAUUGCUGCUAGAGCCGGUGCAGUUUGCACUCCCCAUAUAUAAUCCGUGUAUUAGCUAGAAAAGGCCAUCAUACUAUGAAAAAGCACAAGAAGGUGUUAGGUGGAUGCCUGUGUGUGUGCAUGGGGUCCUUGCUAGUGAGGACGAUGACAAGGGAGUGGCACUUGAUGCCACCGCAUCGGCCAGUUUCUUCUUUAGAUGGCCAUUGCGUUUGUUGCUGUAAUUUUGUCGGUGGAGAAGUUCAGCAGCUGUAACAGUUUGGGUGCAUCCUUGAGUCAUUUGACCUGCUUGAUUAUCUGUUUAGAAGUAGUGAGAGUUUGCCGGAUUGUAUUCUUUGAAGACUAGCACACGCUGUACUCGUGAUUGGUAUGUAAAUAAAGAAGCAGGCUCUUUUUUUGCAUUUGAACCUUCUUAUUAGAUCUGUGAGAUAAAAACUAGUGUACUCGUCAUAUGCCUCGCUGCUAAUUGAUAGU